rnacentral:rRNA from 1 species
CCUACGGGAGGCUGCAGUGGGGAAUAUUGGACAAUGGGGGCAACCCUGAUCCAGCAAUUCUGUGUGCACGAAGAAGGUUUUCGGAUUGUAAAGUGCUUUCAGCAGGGAAGAAGAAAGUGACGGUACCUGCAGAAGAAGCGACGGCUAAAUACGUGCCAGCAGCCGCGGUAAUACGUAUGUCGCAAGCGUUAUCCGGAAUUAUUGGGCAUAAAGGGCAUCUAGGCGGCCAGACAAGUCUGGGGUGAAAACUUGCGGCUCAACCGCAAGCCUGCCCUGGAAACUGUCUGGCUAGAGUGCUGGAGAGGUGGACGGAACUGCACGAGUAGAGGUGAAAUUCGUAGAUAUGUGCAGGAAUGCCGAUGAUGAAGAUAGUUCACUGGACGGCAACUGACGCUGAAGUGCGAAAGCUAGGGGAGCGAACAGGAUUAGAUACCCCGGUAGUC